UAGAAGACAUCUGAAAGAGAUUAAAGAUUUAUCGGUGAUGGAUGGGGAUGCGUCUGAUUAGCUUGUUGGCGGGGUAACGGCCCACCAAGGCAACGAUCAGUAGGGGUUCUGAGAGGAAGGUCCCCCACAUUGGAACUGAGACACGGUCCAAACUCCUACGGGAGGCAGCAGUGAGGAAUAUUGGUCAAUGGGCGAGAGCCUGAACCAGCCAAGUAGCGUGCAGGAUGACGGCCCUAUGGGUUGUAAACUGCUUUUAUAAGGGAAUAAAGUGAGUCUCGUGAGACUUUUUGCAUGUACCUUAUGAAUAAGGACCGGCUAAUUCCGUGCCAGCAGCCGCGGUAAUACGGAAGGUCCGGGCGUUAUCCGGAUUUAUUGGGUUUAAAGGGAGCGUAGGCCGGAGAUUAAGCGUGUUGUGAAAUGUAGACGCUCAACGUCUGCACUGCAGCGCGAACUGGUUUCCUUGAGUACGCACAAAGUGGGCGGAAUUCGUGGUGUAGCGGUGAAAUGCUUAGAUAUCACGAAGAACUCCGAUUGCGAAGGCAGCUCACUGGAGCGCAACUGACGCUGAAGCUCGAAAGUGCGGGUAUCGAACAGGAUUAGAUACCCUGGUAGUCCGCACGGUAAACGAUGGAUGCCCGCUGUUGGUCUGAAUAGGUCAGCGGCCAAGCGAAAGCAUUAAGCAUCCCAC
rnacentral:rRNA from 1 species